ACACUAAUCCAACUCAACUCAACGAAGCCUUCAGUUGCAGCAGUGCGUGCUAGCGCAAGCAAGCAGUGCCGCUGCAGCACCAAAACAAACUAAUUCAUGCAAAGGAGCCUAACUAAGCUCAACCACAUCAACC
rnacentral:misc_RNA from 1 species